CCAAGUGUCUUGCGGUCAAGGUGUUUAUGUCAGCAACAGGAAAGCAAACUGGACCAUAGCCAGACCCCUAAUGCCUUGAACUUUUGGGUGGUAGAAGUGAGCACCUUAUCUCUGUUUUAUUCUGGAAACAGCUGAAACCACUUCCUGUGGGAUCCACCCACUUUCUGGGUAUUCCCAGCCACACCCUCCCUUGUUUCCCAGGGCCCAGCUUUUCUCUGCAUCUCUGGUGUGACUUUCCACGUGCUGGGACAAUUCUUCCAGUUUCCUCACUAGCUGCACUGGGAGAGACUUGGGCUCAUCUCGUAUUUCUGGCUGCAUCGUGCCGCCACCAUUUGGGGACUUCUGCAGCUCUCUUACAGAGCCAUCUGCCCCCACGCUAGGCGGACAGUCUCCAGCUCUGGUAGCUGCUGGACUGAGGAGUCCUCCAGUUUGCAGUUUCCACCUGCAGUGGGGCUGAAUAUCCUGUUCCAGAAGCCCUUUGUCUACUUGGGCGCUUUAGUAUUCCUGUCUCCGAACCCAGCGGUGGGAGACAAGGGGACAUUCUCAGAGUCCCUUCUCAGGAGCACACUGGUCACUGACUGCAAGUAAACCUCAUGUGGAACUGUUUGGCCUGGUGUGGUCCUUCUGAAGCCGGGAGACAUUCAAGAUCAUAACAAUGAGUACUCAUGAAACCUGCAAUCCUGGAGCUCUCUGCAUCGCUUGUAUGCAGCUCAACAGGCCCCAGAGAUCUCCUCACUACAAUGAAGCUGGUAUGAGGCUUCUCCUUCACCAGGUACAGAGUGGGACUGGAGACCGGAAGCAGCGGGGACUCCCGCUAGGAUGUGUGUGGUGGUACUGAGAAGCUGCUCGGUGCUGGCAAUGGCUUCCCUACUGGGUUACCACGAGCUGCACCUUAGCAGAGAUGCGCGUCCCUCAGCGGCCUAUUUGUUUCCUGCUUUGCUUUGAUAAGUGGUAUCUGCGAUGACAGCGAGAGCACACAUAUAUCUAACUUUAAAAAGAUUCGAUUCUGCCCAUUAUGAUUUCCUCGCUGCUGGUAUUUUGAUGAAGAGGGAGACAGACAGUAACGCUUCCCCGAGAAAGAAACGGAUCUCAUCCUACCUCCUGUUGGUCUUCUGUGUCUGUGUUAGCCACUGUCAGCGGAAACCAGAGAAGACUAGGUCUUGCGUUAUGAGAGCCAGAGCCUAGGGCCUGACACAGUUCAUUCUUCAUCGUAGAACCCAGUAGUACAGCAAGGUAUCUUGAGCCCUUUGAGUCCAAAUGCUGUGUCAAAUGCUCGCUCUGCCUCAUACCGCUGGACCUGAUUCCCACGGGAUCAGCAUGCUGGUAUUGGAAGCUACCGAGAAACCUCCUGCAGCUUUGGUGGUUCCAGAUUAUAAUAUGUCACGGCAAGGAAGUCACAAUCAAGAAGCUUGCAGGAGUUGAUCACGUCACACCCACCAACAAGAAGCAGAGAGCCACAAAUGGAGAGGAGAUCAGGUCCCCUCGAAGAAGGACUCAGCUACAAUACCAAGAGGAUCCAAGCUCGUAACUUCAGAUGAACCUGGGAUUGCCUGGAAGACACAGCUGCCUGGACCCCACAGCUGGCAUAUUUAUCCUCUCAUGUAGUCGACUGACAGCCAGGGGAGCCGCACCCUGCUCGCGGUGAGGAGUUGUCUGUGCUGACCUUCCGUCUGUGGACUGUGGGCGAAGAUCAAAGCCCUCUCCAGUAGUUACUGUGAGUAGCCAGCUGUCCGCAUGCUCACUUUCAAUUCAUACAAUGAAGCAGGGAUGUCUGCCAUUCCUUCUGAUCUUUUGGUUCAGGAUGGCCUUGUUAACCAUUCCUACGCUAACU
rnacentral:lncRNA from 1 species